rnacentral:rRNA from 1 species
UACGUAGGGUGCAAGCGUUAAUCGGAAUUACUGGGCGUAAAGCGCGCGUAGGCGGUUGUAUAAGUUGGGUGUGAAAUCCCCGGGCUCAACCUGGGAAUUGCACUCAAAACUGUACGGCUAGAGUGUGGGAGAGGAAGGUAGAAUUCCAGGUGUAGCGGUGAAAUGCGUAGAUAUCUGGAGGAAUACCGAUGGCGAAGGCAGCCUUCUGGCCUAACACUGACGCUGAGGUGCGAAAGCAUGGGGAGCAAACAGG